UUGAACGCUGGCGGCAGGCCUAACACAUGCAAGUCGAGCGGAUGAAAGGAGCUUGCUCCUGGAUUCAGCGGCGGACGGGUGAGUAAUGCCUAGGAAUCUGCCUGGUAGUGGGGGACAACGUUUCGAAAGGAACGCUAAUACCGCAUACGUCCUACGGGAGAAAGCAGGGGACCUUCGGGCCUUGCGCUAUCAGAUGAGCCUAGGUCGGAUUAGCUAGUUGGUGAGGUAAUGGCUCACCAAGGCGACGAUCCGUAACUGGUCUGAGAGGAUGAUCAGUCACACUGGAACUGAGACACGGUCCAGACUCCUACGGGAGGCAGCAGUGGGGAAUAUUGGACAAUGGGCGAAAGCCUGAUCCAGCCAUGCCGCGUGUGUGAAGAAGGUCUUCGGAUUGUAAAGCACUUUAAGUUGGGAGGAAGGGCAGUAAAUUAAUACUUUGCUGUUUUGACGUUACCGACAGAAUAAGCACCGGCUAACUCUGUGC
rnacentral:rRNA from 1 species